rnacentral:rRNA from 1 species
AUUGCACGCUGGCGGCAGGCCUAACACAUGCAAGUCGAGCGAGCGGCGGACGGGUGAGUAAUGCCUGGGAAUAUGCCUUAGUGUGGGGGAUAAUUAUUGGAAACGAUAGCUAAUACCGCAUAAGCUAAGAUUAGCCCAGGUAGGAUUAGCUAGUUGGUGGGGUAAGAGCUCACCAAGGCGACGAUCUCUAGCUGGUCUGAGUGGAUGAUCAUCCAUACUGGAACUGAGCAACGGUCCAGAAUCAGACGGGAUGCAGCAGUGGGGAAUAUUGCACAAUGGGCGAAAGCCUGAUGCAGCCAUGCCGCGUGUAUGAAGAAGGCCUUCGGGUUGUAAAGUACUUUCAGUAGGGAGGCGUUACCUACAGAAGAAGCACCGGCUAACUCCGUGCCAGCCGCCGCGGUAAUAC